rnacentral:tRNA from 1 species
GCUAAUGUAGCUUAAGUAAAGCAUAACACUGAAGAUGUUAAGACAAGCCCUAGAAAGCUUCAAUAGCA